UUCAGCAACAUUUAUACUAAAAAAAACUGGAGCAAUACAGAAAAGAUUAGCAUGGGCCCUAUACAAGGAGGACAUGCAAAUUUGUAAAGCAUUCCAUAUAAAA